AGAGUUUGAUCAUGGCUCAGAUUGAACGCUGGCGGCAUGCCUUACACAUGCAAGUCGAACGGUAACGGGCCUUCGGGUGCCGACGAGUGGCGAACGGGUGAGUAAUGUAUCGGAACGUACCUUCAGUGGGGAUAACGUAGCGAAAGUUACGCUAAUACCGCAUAUUCUGUGAGCAGGAAAGCAGGGGAUCGCAAGACCUUGCGCUGAUUAAGCGGCCGAUAUCAGAUUAGCUAGUUGGUGAGGUAAAGGCUCACCAAGGCGACGAUCUGUAGCGGGUCUGAGAGGAUGAUCCGCCACACUGGAACUGAGACACGGUCCAGACUCCUACGGGAGGCAGCAGUGGGGAAUUUUGGACAAUGGGGGCAACCCUGAUCCAGCCAUGCCGCGUGAGUGAAGAAGGCCUUCGGGUUGUAAAGCUCUUUUGGCCGGGAAGAAAUCGUAUGGGUUAAUACCCUGUGCGGAUGACGGUACCGGCAUAAGAAGCACCGGCUAACUACGUG
rnacentral:rRNA from 1 species